rnacentral:lncRNA from 1 species
GUUAGCAAAUGAGAUACAAAGGCUUGGGAAGGGCUUAUGUUUUGGGGUUUAUCCUGUCAUGUUGCUCUUUGGAACUCUCAUAUUAGUGCUGGAAGAAGCCUGCUUAAGCCUAUCAGAGAAUGAGCAUGUGGCACAGAUAUAAGCCAUUUCCAGCUGAGGCUCCUCUAGACCAAACAGACCAUCAACCAUCAGAUGUGUGAGUGAGAUCUUCCCGGAUUAUCCAGCUUCCUCAAAAUCAUGACAAAAUAGUAAAUGUUUAUUGUUUUUGGCUACUAAGUUGCAAGAUGGUUUGUUAUACACAAACAUAGACCACCACCCCCCCCACCCCCCGCCCACAGCAUCAACUAAUAUAUAACUAAAAUCAAACUCUUAGCCUCUAAAUUUUUUAUAUACUUCUCUGGCUUCUAGUUUUUUCCUGCUGACUCUCUUCUCUUUCAUCAUCUCCUAUCAUUCAUUUCUUUUACUCAAUCAAAAAUUGGGAAAUAUUUCAGAUUAUAAAAAUGAAAGUGGAAGUCCCUAUUUUCAGAAAGUCAGUUCAAUAAAAUUCUCUUCCAUGUUAUUUUCACCAGUAACAACAUUCAUGAUACUCACACACAUAGUAUUUCUUCCAGUACAUAAUCACUCAGUAGCCUGUGCAUUCAAGUUGUAUUGCUCUUAGAUUUCUUUGAACAAAUAUAAUUUUCCACCAAAUAGAAGGGAAACAUAGAAUAUGGCAGAGAAACUGAAUAGUUUCAUAAGAGAAGAUGGUUCAUAUCCCGUUACCCUGGCAACAGGCACUGGGAACGCCAGGGCUCCCCACACAUCCUGUUGCCCUGACAACAGGUCAGGCAGGGCAUGGGAAGGCCCAGUUCCCACUCUUCUAGUCCUUUUCCUUGCAACCACAAAGAAAAAGGAGAAAGUGAUUUUGCAUUUUGUUCUUCCCUACCAGAAUAUUUCUUCUAUUAUCUGAACCAUUCCAUUAUAAGAUUAUCUUUCCAGAUGUAAGAGAGGGUAAGAAAAUAGUGACCUAUAUUUUUAUAUUCAUAAUUUCUGAAACAUUUGCUAAUUUUUGACUGAGCUAAAAAUGAUAGGAAAAAAAGGAGAGGGAGGGAAUAAAGCAGUAGAGGUAGUAAAUUGUGGAAACCAGAUCAGUAGUGCACGAAUAAUACAGCAGCCAAGAGCUGAUUUGGAGUCUCUGUCACUUACCUACAUUGGUUAGGCUUAGCUAAUUUUUAAGGCGUUCACCUGUGAAAGUCAAAUCUGUGAAAUACUUGCUUAUUUGUUUCCUGUAUUUUGUGAGCAGGCAGUGCAUAGCCAAACACCAUAAAAUGACAUUCUGUUAUAAGUUUUUUUGCCCAAUUAAUUUUCAGUUCCAUACAACUUUUCCCCUUUUUAAGUUUCUUAUUCAAGUUUUAUUAUCUUUCAUCACUUAUCUUUUCUUACAAUACAGAGUUGAUAAGAAAGCAAGCUGAUUGAAUUCUUAUUUUCCUUUCCUCUCUCUUUGUUACUUAAGCAAUUGGUUUGAUUAUGUAAAAGAAAUACGCUUUAUUUUGGGGGCUGGAAGUUAUUUUGUCUUUAUAAUUUUUAGUUUUGUAUAAACUAGUUGUCUGUUUAAAACUGUCAAAAACAUUUGUUGUUGUUGUUUAAUUGCUAAGUCAUGUUUGACUCUUUUCUGACUCCAUGGACUAUAGCCUGCC